rnacentral:rRNA from 1 species
GUGGGGAAUAUUGGACAAUGGGGGGAACCCUGAUCCAGCCAUGCCGCGUGUGUGAAGAAGGCCUUUUGGUUGUAAAGCACUUUAAGCGAGGAGGAGGCUACCGAGAUUAAUACUCUUGGAUAGUGGACGUUACUCGCAGAAUAAGCACCGGCUAACUCUGUGCCAGCAGCCGCGGUAAUACAGAGGGUGCAAGCGUUAAUCGGAUUUACUGGGCGUAAAGCGCGCGUAGGUGGCCAAUUAAGUCAUAUGUGAAAUCCCCGAGCUUAACUUGGGAAUUGCAUUCGAUACUGGUUGGCUAGAGUAUGUGAGAGGAUGGUAGAAUUCCAGGUGUAGCGGUGAAAUGCGUAGAGAUCUGGAGGAAUACCGAUGGCGAAGGCAGCCAUCUGGCCUAAUACUGACACUGAGGUGCGAAAGCAUGGGGAGCAAACAGGAUUAGAAACCCCGGUAGUCC